rnacentral:rRNA from 1 species
ACGGGUGAGUAAUGUAUCGGAACGUGCCUAGUAGCGGGGGAUAACUACGCGAAAGCGUAGCUAAUACCGCAUACGCCCUACGGGGGAAAGCAGGGGAUCGUAAGACCUUGCACUAUUAGAGCGGCCGAUAUCGGAUUAGCUAGUUGGUGGGGUAACGGCUCACCAAGGCGACGAUCCGUAGCUGGUUUGAGAGGACGACCAGCCACACUGGGACUGAGACACGGCCCAGACUCCUACGGGAGGCAGCAGUGGGGAAUUUUGGACAAUGGGGGAAACCCUGAUCCAGCCAUCCCGCGUGUGCGAUGAAGGCCUUCGGGUUGUAAAGCACUUUUGGCAGGAAAGAAACGUCAUGGGUUAAUACCCCGUGAAACUGACGGUACCUGCAGAAUAAGCACCGGCUAACUACGCGCCAGCAGCCGCGGUAAUACGUAGGGUGCAAGCGUUAAUCGGAAUUACUGGGCGUAAAGCGUGCGCAGGCGGUUCGGAAAGAAAGAUGUGAAAUCCCAGAGCUUAACUUUGGAACUGCAUUUUUAACUACCGGGCUAGAGUGUGUCAGAGGGAGGUGGAAUUCCGCGU